UUAAGCGACUAAGCGUACACGGUGGAUGCCCUGGCAGUCAGAGGCGAUGAAGGACGUGCUAAUCUGCGAAAAGCGUCGGUAAGGUGAUAUGAACCGUUAUAACCGGCGAUGUCCGAAUGGGGAAACCCAGUGCAAUUCGUUGCACUAUCGUUAACUGAAUACAUAGGUUAACGAGGCGAACCGGGGGAACUGAAACAUCUAAGUACCCCGAGGAAAAGAAAUCAACCGAGAUUCCCCCAGUAGCGGCGAGCGAACGGGGAGCAGCCCAGAGUCUGAAUCAGCUUGUGUGUUAGUGGAACGGUCUGGAAAGUCCGACGGUACAGGGUGAUAGUCCCGUACACCAAAAUGCACAGGCUGUGAACUCGAAGAGUAGGGCGGGACACGUGGUAUCCUGUCUGAAUAUGGGGGGACCAUCCUCCAAGGCUAAAAUACUCCUGACUGACCGAUAGUGAACCAGUACCGUGAGGGAAAGGCGAAAAGAACCCCGGCGAGGGGAGUGAAAAAGAACCUGAAACCGUGUACGUACAAGCAGUGGGAGCACCUUCGGGUGUGACUGCGUACCUUUUGUAUAAUGGGUCAGCGACUUAUAUUCUGUAGCAAGGUUAACCGUAUAGGGGAGCCGCAGGGAAACCGAGUCUUAACUGGGCGUUAAGUUGCAGGGUAUAGACCCGAAACCCGGUGAUCUAGCCAUGGGCAGGUUGAAGGUUGGGUAACACUAACUGGAGGACCGAACCGACUAAUGUUGAAAAAUUAGCGGAUGACUUGUGGCUGGGGGUGAAAGGCCAAUCAAACCGGGAGAUAGCUGGUUCUCCCCGAAAGCUAUUUAGGUAGCGCCUCGUGAACUCAUCUUCGGGGGUAGAGCACUGUUUCGGCUAGGGGGUCAUCCCGACUUACCAACCCGAUGCAAACUACGAAUACCGAAGAAUGUUAUCACGGGAGACACACGGCGGGUGCUAACGUCCGUCGUGAAGAGGGAAACAACCCAGACCGCCAGCUAAGGUCCCAAAGUCAUGGUUAAGUGGGAAACGAUGUGGGAAGGCACAGACAGCCAGGAUGUUGGCUUAGAAGCAGCCAUCAUUUAAAGAAAGCGUAAUAGCUCACUGGUCGAGUCGGCCUGCGCGGAAGAUGUAACGGGGCUAAACCAUGCACCGAAGCUGCGGCAGCGACACUAUGUGUUGUUGGGUAGGGGAGCGUUCUGUAAGCCUGCGAAGGUGUGCUGUGAGGCAUGCUGGAGGUAUCAGAAGUGCGAAUGCUGACAUAAGUAACGAUAAAGCGGGUGAAAAGCCCGCUCGCCGGAAGACCAAGGGUUCCUGUCCAACGUUAAUCGGGGCAGGGUGAGUCGACCCCUAAGGCGAGGCCGAAAGGCGUAGUCGAUGGGAAACAGGUUAAUAUUCCUGUACUUGGUGUUACUGCGAAGGGGGGACGGAGAAGGCUAUGUUAGCCGGGCGACGGUUGUCCCGGUUUAAGCAUGUAGGCUGAUUAUCCAGGCAAAUCCGGAUAAUCAAGGCUGAGGUGUGAUGACGAGGCACUACGGUGCUGAAGUAACAAAUGCCCUGCUUCCAGGAAAAGCCUCUAAGCAUCAGGUAACAUCAAAUCGUACCCCAAACCGACACAGGUGGUCAGGUAGAGAAUACCAAGGCGCUUGAGAGAACUCGGGUGAAGGAACUAGGCAAAAUGGUGCCGUAACUUCGGGAGAAGGCACGCUGGUGUGUAGGUGAAGUCCCUGCGGAUGGAGCUGAGACCAGUCGAAGAUACCAGCUGGCUGCAACUGUUUAUUAAAAACACAGCACUGUGCAAACACGAAAGUGGACGUAUACGGUGUGACGCCUGCCCGGUGCCGGAAGGUUAAUUGAUGGGGUUAUCCGUAAGGAGAAGCUCUUGAUCGAAGCCCCGGUAAACGGCGGCCGUAACUAUAACGGUCCUAAGGUAGCGAAAUUCCUUGUCGGGUAAGUUCCGACCUGCACGAAUGGCGUAAUGAUGGCCAGGCUGUCUCCACCCGAGACUCAGUGAAAUUGAACUCGCUGUGAAGAUGCAGUGUACCCGCGGCAAGACGGAAAGACCCCGUGAACCUUUACUAUAGCUUGACACUGAACAUUGAGCCUUGAUGUGUAGGAUAGGUGGGAGGCUUUGAAGCGUGGACGCCAGUCUGCGUGGAGCCAACCUUGAAAUACCACCCUUUAAUGUUUGAUGUUCUAACGUUGGCCCCUGACCGGGGUUGCGGACAGUGUCUGGUGGGUAGUUUGACUGGGGCGGUCUCCUCCCAAAGCGUAACGGAGGAGCACGAAGGUUAGCUAAUCCUGGUCGGACAUCAGGAGGUUAGUGCAAUGGCAUAAGCUAGCUUGACUGCGAGCGUGACGGCGCGAGCAGGUGCGAAAGCAGGUCAUAGUGAUCCGGUGGUUCUGAAUGGAAGGGCCAUCGCUCAACGGAUAAAAGGUACUCCGGGGAUAACAGGCUGAUACCGCCCAAGAGUUCAUAUCGACGGCGGUGUUUGGCACCUCGAUGUCGGCUCAUCACAUCCUGGGGCUGAAGUAGGUCCCAAGGGUAUGGCUGUUCGCCAUUUAAAGUGGUACGCGAGCUGGGUUUAGAACGUCGUGAGACAGUUCGGUCCCUAUCUGCCGUGGGCGCUGGAGAAUUGAGGGGGGCUGCUCCUAGUACGAGAGGACCGGAGUGGACGCAUCACUGGUGUUCGGGUUGUCAUGCCAAUGGCACUGCCCGGUAGCUAAAUGCGGAAGAGAUAAGUGCUGAAAGCAUCUAAGCACGAAACUUGCCCCGAGAUGAGUUCUCCCUGAGACUUUAAGUCUCCUGAAGGAACGUUGAAGACGACGACGUUGAUAGGCCGGGUGUGUAAGCGCAGCGAUGCGUUGAGCUAACCGGUACUAAUGAACCGUGAGGCUUAACCUU
rnacentral:rRNA from 1 species